rnacentral:rRNA from 1 species
UGGGGAAUAUUGGACAAUGGGCGAAAGCCUGAUCCAGCCAUGCCGCGUGUGUGAAGAAGGUCCUCGGAUUGUAAAGCACUUUAAGUUGGGAGGAAGGGCAGUAAGCGAAUACCUUGCUGUUUUGACGUUACCGACAGAAUAAGCACCGGCUAACUCUGUGCCAGCAGCCGCGGUAAUACAGAGGGUGCAAGCGUUAAUCGGAAUUACUGGGCGUAAAGCGCGCGUAAGUGGUUCGUUAAGUUGAAUGUGAAAGCCCCGGGCUCAACCUGGGAACUGCAUCCAAGACUGGCGAGCUGGAGUAGGGCAGAGGGUGGUGGGAUUUCCUGUGUAGCGGUGAAAUGCGUAGAUAUAGGAAGGUACACCAGUGGCGAAGGCGACCACCGGGGCUCAUGCUGACACUGAGGUGCGAAAGCGUGGGGAGCAAACAGG